rnacentral:rRNA from 1 species
GACGGUAUGGACGCCGAUGAAGGAGACGACCAAGAACCAGCACCUAUAGGGAACUGGAAAGCCACCUCGUCAUAUGACAUAUACAUGGUGGACACCCCCAAAGCAGGGGAUGGCGAGGAACAAACGGAGGAUGACCCCUCCAAAAAGCAACCCAAGCGCCAACGUCAGUGGCGCCACUCUAAAUCCCGCCAAAGCAAGAACGGCGAAUCCGGCACCGGAGAUAACAACACGCCGGACAGUGCCGAAGAUAACCCCCUCCAGCAGGAUUCAGUGCAGGAGGACGAAGGAGCCAGCCCUCAGGAGAGAGCGGCCGACAGAGAGGUUGAGGACGACAACUAUAUGCCUCCCUCCGAAGACGAGGCAAGCCUCGACGAC